UGAAAAAGUUAUAAAGCGUUGAAAAUAACAUAUGUAAUUCAAAGGCAAUAAGUGAGUCAUUUUGCUUAUAGUAAUGGUUGGAACCAUAUCUUGAGUUUUCAUGUAAAUUUUUGGCUCAAAAUUUCUAAAAGUGUGUUUUAUUAGGUUAAAAAGAUAUAUAUUAAAAUUUUAUGGUGUUUAAGUACUUAUUUUGUGAGAUAUAAAGAAAUUUGCACACAUGUAUAUAUAAGCAAGGAUUUGAAGCUACUAUUAGGGUUUUGGCAAUAUUUUAAGAUCUAUAAUAAAUUUACAAUUGAAAUUUGUUAUAAUAAUUAUUAAAAAUAUGAGUACUUCAUGUAAAAUUUGGAUUUGUUUGAAUGG
rnacentral:lncRNA from 1 species